rnacentral:lncRNA from 1 species
CCGCCUGCAGUAUCAGUGCAAAAUAAAACGCAAAAGAGUUAAGUCACACAUCACAACCAGCAUCAAAAUGUUGUUCCGAUUUCUGGUGAUUUUUAUGCUGCUGUCUGUAAACUUGCUAGUUUCGGGCAGGGUUUCCCACUUUUCCCGAUCCGGCAGUCCGUGUCCCAGAGGAACGGUGUUCAAAAAUGGACGGUGCAUCAGAGUUUCGAAGUUCAGCCCACCGGGAUAUUAUUCCAGCAGCAAUUCUGGGUAGUUGGUGCUCGACGCAGGAAAACAAUCAAACAGCAUAUUUUUGAUAAAUUUCAUAUUGUAAACUAGACUAUAAUAUGUUUUUACGAGUUUAAAAAUGCAUUCAAUAAAAUGAUUUUUGACAAUCGA